rnacentral:rRNA from 1 species
GAUGAACGCUGGCGGCGUGCCUAAUACAUGCAAGUCGAGCGAACGGACGAGAAGCUUGCUUUUCUGAUGUUAGCGGCGGACGGGUGAGUAACACGUGGAUAACCUACCUAUAAGACUGGGAUAACUUCGGGAAACCGGAGCUAAUACCGGAUAAUAUUUUGAACCGCAUGGUUCAAAAGUGAAAGACGGUCUUGCUGUCACUUAUAGAUGGAUCCGCGCUGCAUUAGCUAGUUGGUAAGGUAACGGCUUACCAAGGCAACGAUGCAUAGCCGACCUGAGAGGGUGAUCGGCCACACUGGAACUGAGACACGGUCCAGACUCCUACGGGAGGCAGCAGUAGGGAAUCUUCCGCAAUGGGCGAAAGCCUGACGGAGCAACGCCGCGUGAGUGAUGAAGGUCUUCGGAUCGUAAAACUCUAUUAUUAGGGAAGAACAGAUGUGUAAGUAACUGUGCACAUCUUGACGGUACCUAAUCAGAAAGCCACGGCUAACUACGUG